rnacentral:hammerhead_ribozyme from 1 species
AUCCAUCUGACGAGUUUCAAAUAGAACGAAAUACGCGUCCUGGAU